rnacentral:rRNA from 1 species
GAUGAACGCUGGCGGCGUGCCUAACACAUGCAAGUCGAGCGACAGGACGAGAAGCUCUUUCCCUUGCUGUUAGCGGCGGACGGGUGAGUAACACGUGGAUAACCUUCUUCUAUGACUGGGAUAAUUUCGGGAAACCGGAGCUACUACUGCAUCAUACUUUGUACCGCAUGGUUCAAAAGUGCAUGACGGCUUUGCCGUUUCAUAUAGAUGAUUCCGCGCUGCAUUAGCUAGUUGGUAAGGUAACGGCCUACCAAGGCGACGAUGCAUAGCCGACCUGAGAGGAUGAUCAGCCACACUGGAACUGAGACACGGUCCAGACUCCUACGGGAGGCAGCAGUGGGGAAUCUUGCGCAAUGGGCGAAAGCCUGACGGAGCAACGCCGCGUGAGUGAAGAAGGUCUUCGGGUCGUAAAACUCUUUUAUUAGGGAAGAACAUAUGUGGAAUAAUCUGUGGACAUCUUGACGGUACCUAAACAGAAAGCCACGGCUAACUACGUG